AACAGUGUUGCUAUGACAACCCGGAGUCGCUUGACGGUUGGUCUCUGGAAUUGGCCUGGCCUGAGGUUGCCAGACCCUGGAAGCAGAGGCGAACUCAAGGCCAAAACUCUAAAGAUGUGAGAACUGCCCCAGGAUCUAUCUUGCAACCUGAGUGAGUCACUGUUUCCUGCCAUCUACACCACUGAGUCAAUUGGCCACUGAUGACAGCCCAGUCCUGUAUGCCACUGCGCAGUAAAGGGUUGACUUAGCAGACCUGGAUUGCUCAAACCCUGCACAUUCCAGACAGACCUGGCCAUUUCCCGUGAUUCUGGGGGAUCAUCUCUAAACCUUGGAAUGCCCUGCCUAGUAAAUCUUGUGUACCUGGUAGGCUAUGUCAACAAUAUUAGUGAUAGCAUGAACCUUAGGUCACACUAUCAAAUUGAUCUCUAGGGCAGCUGGAGACUAAGUUCAUUAAGUUAAGUUGCUAUAUGUUUCUGUUGCUGCUUUCCAAAUAAAAACCCUGGAGAAGCCAAA